UACGAAGGGGGCUAGCGUUGCUCGGAAUCACUGGGCGUAAAGGGCGCGUAGGUGGCGGGACAAGCGUGCGGUGAAAGCCUGGGGCUCAACCCCCGGGUCGGCCGUGCGAACUGUUUUGCUUGAGCACUGUAGAGGCAGGCGGAAUUCCGGGUGUAGCGGUGGAAUGCGCAGAUAUCAGGAGGAACACCGGUGGCGAAGGCGGCUCACUGGCCAGUUUCUGACGCUGCAGCGCGAAAGCGUGGGGAUCAAACAGG
rnacentral:rRNA from 1 species